rnacentral:rRNA from 1 species
CGUGUAGGCGGCUUAAUAGGUCAGAUGUGAAAUCCCCAGGCUCAACCUGGGAAUUGCGUUUGAAACCAUUAGGCUUGAGGCUGGGAGAGGAAAGCGGAAUUCCUGGUGUAGCGGUGAAAUGCGUAGAUAUCAGGAGGAACACCAGCGGCGAAGGCGGCUUUCUGGACCAGACCUGACGCUAAGGCGCGAAAGCGUGGGGAACGAACG